GGGGUAUAAAGUCUCCGCGUUCGGCGCUGGAGCGUUGAGUGUCGCGCUGCGGCACCGCUGGACACGCCGCGCUCGGGGCGCGCUGCCGGGGGACCCCGCGUCGGGCCGGCGGGAACAGACUGGUGGCGUUCCAGGGACUGGGAGCAGAGUCCUUCCCUCCCCAAAGAACCGCGCAGGCUCUCCUGGUUGUUCCUGCCCAGCCAUGCAGUGGGUGGUGAAGCUCUACUUGCUGGGUGCG